CGGGGGAGGCUGGAUCCUGGGCUGUGUCCCGGCGCCCUGUGCUCCGGAGCCUGCGCUGUUGGAUUCGCGCUCCCGCCCCGCAGCCCCCU
rnacentral:pre_miRNA from 1 species